CUAGCGACCGAAACACAAGAUUGACGUUCAUGCCGAAGUUUAAUCCGUGCCGGUUAACGCACGGUAAAUAAACGGUGAAGACACACGAGACACAUCCUCAAUAUUAAGAAAUGAAGUGCUGAUGGCCAGCUUCGCAUUAUUUUCAUGAAAGAAGAUUCAACGCUUUCCUCGUCUUGACUUCAGAAAGGUAAAUCAACUCAUUGUUUUUUGCAUCAGUGUAUUAGCUUAACCUAGUGUAGUGGUCCUUCUUCUGCGUUGUGUAAUUUUUUUAUUUCUUUUCUUGAACCGUAAUUGACGAGCUGACACCCAAGAAAUUUUCCGUGCAAAGUGUAUUCUGUAUGAAAGCAAGGUCACGCCAGAACAUCGCGUCACAACUCGCGUCUCUCUGCACCUCUCUCUCUCACAGCUCAUGCCAUGUGUCUAAGAGGACUAAACCGGGUCUCCAACCCACUAACCCACGGGCACGGCCGCAUCCAACCACUUUUCGGGGCAACCGUUGGUAUUGUCAACGGAAACCGACCUAGGCGACACAGGACACUGCAACAGAUUUAUUGUCAGGAUAAUAAGCAAGUGUUCUUCCAAAGUCCAGCUGAGCAGAAGGACUGGCAGGAUGGUGCAACGAAAAAAUGAAUCCCUCAAUCCACACGUGGCAUCGUUUAUCAGAGGCUUUAUCGAGUAUGACUGGCAGAACAACUGAUAUCAGGUGAGACUGUUA
rnacentral:lncRNA from 1 species